UACGUAGGGUGCAAGCGUUAAUCGGAAUUACUGGGCGUAAAGCGCGCGUAGGUGGUUGUGUAAGUUGGAUGUGAAAGCCCCGGGCUUAACCUGGGAACUGCAUUCAAAACUGCACGGCUAGAGUACGGGAGAGGGGGGUAGAAUUCCAGGUGUAGCGGUGAAAUGCGUAGAGAUCUGGAGGAAUACCGAUGGCGAAGGCAGCCCCCUGGCCUGAUACUGACACUGAGGUGCGAAAGCAUGGGGAGCAAACAGG
rnacentral:rRNA from 1 species